rnacentral:rRNA from 1 species
CGAACUUCCGUUAAUUGAUUAUGACGUACUUGUACUGAUUGAGAUUUUAACACGAAGUGAGUGGCGAACGGGUGAGUAACACGUGGGUAACCUGCCCAGAAGUAGGGGAUAACACCUGGAAACAGAUGCUAAUACCGUAUAACAGAGAAAACCGCAUGGUUUUCUUUUAAAAGAUGGCUCUGCUAUCACUUCUGGAUGGACCCGCGGCGUAUUAGCUAGUUGGUGAGGUAAAGGCUCACCAAGGCAGUGAUACGUAGCCGACCUGAGAGGGUAAUCGGCCACAUUGGGACUGAGACACGGCCCAGACUCCUACGGGAGGCAGCAGUAGGGAAUCUUCCACAAUGGACGAAAGUCUGAUGGAGCAACGCCGCGUGAGUGAAGAAGGGUUUCGGCUCGUAAAGCUCUGUUGUUAAAGAAGAACGUGGGUAAGAGUAACUGUUUACCCAGUGACGGUAUUUAACCAGAAAGCCACGGCUAACUACGUGCCAGCAGCCGCGGUAAUACGUAGGUGGCAAGCGUUAUCCGG